GUCAGCAUGGUGUAGUGGUUUUGAGUAUUGGACUACGACUCUGGAGACCAGGGUUCGAUUUCCAGCUCGGCCA